rnacentral:lncRNA from 1 species
UUAUUCAAGUGUGGGAGGGCGUGGGGCAAUGAUGCGGGCUGCUCCUCCGCCUCUGGGGUUCAGCCUGGGGCUCGGCCAGGCUGGCGGUUGGGAAGGCGAGCAUGGACCCUGGAACCCAUUGUCACACCUACUCCCAACCUUGAUGCCGCGGUGACCUCCCGACAAGCUGGCACCUUCGCCAUGGAGUGGCACACACACCUGCUUCAGGACGAGGAGAAGUUGAAUGGGUGAUGCAGGGAGCCGGAGGCACUGCAGGACCAGAGGCCACCCCUCACCAAGGUGGGCAACACGUCAGUGACAAGGAUGCACUCCAUCCGCCCUUCCGACUUAAUAUGAACAAACAUCUGCUGGCACUUCACUCUCACCCUCCAGACCUCAGGCAGGAUGUCUCUUGCCCCUCACGCCACCCGAGCACCAUUUAGGGGCUGGAAUUUUGGGAGAAGUCCUGUUGACUCAGUGGCACUAUGUUGGUUCCACGGACACAGUGCGAAGCCAGCCCAGAGAUGAAGCGGGAGAAUGCAGCUGAGUGAAGGGAGGGCUUUUUCUUAACUCAGAUGUAUUUCUACCUGACGCAGUUUGAAAAAGAACCUGAAGAGGUUCUGAUCCAGGAUACCACAUUGCAUCUAGAAGUCCUAACUUUUACUAUUUUUUAAUUUUUUGGCUGCACCCAUGGCAUGCACCAGUAGUGACCUGAGCCACAGCAGUGACAACCCUGCAUCCUUAACCCUGUGAGCAACCAGGGAACUCCCUAGAAGUCCCAGACUUUUUUUUGUUUGCUUUUUUUAGGGCCACACCUGUGACAUAUAGAGGUUCCCAGGCUAGCGGUUGAAUCAGAGCUAUGGCUGCUGGCCUAUGCCAUGGCCGCAGUAACGCCAGAUCUGAGCUGCGUCUGGGACUCACAACCACAGCUCAUGGAGACACCAGAUCCUUUAACCCACAGAGCAAGGCCAGGGGAUUGAACCCGCAUCCUCAUGGAUACUAAUCAGCAUUUUUCCCGCUAUGCUACCAUGGGAACUCCCCAAGUCCCAGCUUUUAAACAGGGCAUUGAAAGCCUUUUGUGAUCUUGGCCUCUGUUUACGUCCAAGCCCAUCUCUAGCCCCUUGUCACACCCUUUUUUUCUCAGGCCACCCUGAAGAACCUGCAAUUCCUCCAGAGGCCUUUUCUUACUCCUGGACCUCUGUACAUGCUGUUCUGUCUCUGAGGAGCCCAUUUCCCUGUCUUGACCUCACACUUACUCAUCCUGAAGCUUCCAUUCAGUCAGCUCUCCUAGGAAGCCUUCUUGGCCAAACCCAUCUGGGCUUGGCCAAACCCUGGGCUUCUCCAGCUGCCCUCUGCUCUCUCCAUCCCUGGAUUUUUGGUAAGGUUUUUUAAUUAAAUUAAAUUAUUAUUUUUCUUUUUUGGCCACCGAGCGGCAUAUGGAGUUCCUGAGCCAGGGAUCAGAUCCGAGCUGCAGUUGUGACCUAUGCCGCAGCUGCUGCGAUACGAUCCUUAAAUCACUGUGUCGGGCCAGGGAUCGAACCUGCAUCCUGGUGCGGCAGAGACGCUGCCCAUCCCAUUGUGCCACAGUGGGAACUCCCAUCCCUGGGUUUUUUUAAUCCCAGAUUUUGAUGAUCUGUUUCCUUGUACUCCUCACUAGAUUGAAGAAACUUUGGGCUGGUGCCCUGCUUUAUUUUUCUCUGUAGGAACUCAAUGAAUGCUUGCAAAAUGGAUGAAGUUAGGAAAGAGUCCAUAUCCACAAAAGUGUCAGCGAGAGCUCAGAGGGAGACUCUCCUGGCUGGAGGGGAGCCUUCUUGACUUGAUGGCUUGAUGCUUGCAAAAUGGAGCAGUAAACUAACAUCUACUGAGCACAGAUUCUGUGCUAGGCACGAUUCUCAGUACUUUGCACCCACUAAUUGAAUCCUCACAAAACCCCUCCUAGGUGUGUGCCUGCUUUUCUCCCCAUUUGACAGAUGAAGAAGUACAAGUGAAACAAUUCGCCAAGAUGAGCAGUGAUUAGAGGCAGAGCUGGAAUAGACCUGGACUUGCUUCUUCUUUGCUAGACAUUGGGGUGCAUGUGCCCUGUGGACCAGAAAGGGGGCAUGGGUGGUAGGAGGUAGAAUUCCAGGGCGGGACAACUGAUACACCUAAAACAUUUUGGAAGGUAAGCAUGGGUGACCCCACUUCUGGAAGAGUUGCGAUUGUGGGGGGAUGUGUUGUUACCCCCGAGGGUGACAGAUGAUUGGGGGCGGGGGGGGGGAUAGGUGUUUUGGAGAUGUGGACCUGGAGGAGGGGUGUGAUUGCAGCCUGGUGGCAGAGGCCACCGAUGCUCUCUGGAAUGUAAGUUGGCUGGGGACUAAUUAAUUAGAAAGCUCUGAGAACUGGAAGCCACCCAAGAGGAGAACGUCUCAAGGAAGGAAGAACUUAGAGGCCCAGAGAAAGCAGAGCCAUCUGGACCGGGGUGGGGGUGGAGUCCGGAAGAGGCUGCUCACGCGAGGUUCUCGUACGAAAUUCUCGCGAGACGAAUGCUGUAGUUCAUCUGGGCCCCUGCAAACUACCCCCGGGUUUAUCAUUUCUAGCCUGAGAUUUCCUCCAGCGCAUUGGUACAGCUUUGUACCCGAAGUGGAGGUGCACCUCCUCCCAUGAGUAAUAGCUGCUUUUUGUGCAGUGUUUACGAAAAAGGCCUUUUAAGCUCUCUUGCUUCCAAUUCAUUCUUCCAAGGCCCAAAAGAGGUAGGCAGGCCUCAUUUCCAUGUCCUGUUUACAGAUGAAGAAAUGGAGAUGUACUGAGGAAGAUAACUUGCCUGAGGUCACGCAGCUAGAAAGGGACACAAUAAACAUGGAAUAAAUGAAUAAAUAAGAA